UUGUGUCGAACAUGCGAAUUUCAAAUGACAGCAUAAAGAGUUAACUUCUCUAUCAUGUGUGCUUGCAGCACCAGUUUCGUGUUCGAACUCUCUAAUCGAACUCGACCAUUUAUGAAUCGGGUUCGGAAUACCUAACCGCAAUCCGCGGCCAAAAUGAAUGAUGCAUAUGCAUUACAUUAUCAUGUUCAUAAGGACACGGACCAAAGAUGCUUUCCCAUCUAUUUGUAGGAAGCUUGCGAUGCAUAUUCAUCAAGAUCUGCAAAUAAGCUAGAAUAAAAAAUCAGAGUAUUGAUUUUUGUGUCUUUUCUUGACAUGGGAGAUCUUAGGGAGCUAAAAGAAAGAGGCUGCAUGAAAGGACAUGAUAAAAUGUAUCUUGUGAUGAAAUCUGUAUGAAAAGGACCUCCUCAGAGGACCUCUAUGGUGGAGAUUUCGUGAAGACUUGUGCUAUGUUGACCUCUCCUAUGAGAUAUACAGGAUGAGGUCCUCUAAAUUUGUGAGGCACAUAAAUGUACUGUGAACAUCGUUUAUACAAGACUGUCUAAACAAUAAAAUCACCUUUCCUGUGAGAUGUACAGCUUGUGUACAGCUGUCCUAUGAGGUAAACAGUAUGAGGACCUAUAGAUUUCUGAAACAUAGAGAAAACACCUUCACUCCAAGAGGCCGUAUCCUAUAAGGCAUGCAGUAUGAGGAUGCUUCUUGUAUUGGCUUUCUCAUAUGAGACAUGCAUUAGCAAAGCUUACAGGAC